rnacentral:rRNA from 1 species
CAGUCGCCGCGGUAAUACGAAGGGUGCAAGCGUUAAUCGGAAUUACUGGGCGUAAAGCGCGCGUAGGUGGUUUGGUAAGAUGGAUGUGAAAUCCCCGGGCUCAACCUGGGAACUGCAUCCAUAACUGCCUGACUAGAGUACGGUAGAGGGUGGUGGAAUUUCCUGUGUAGCGGUGAAAUGCGUAGAUAUAGGAAGGAACACCAGUGGCGAAGGCGACCACCUGGACUGAUACUGACACUGAGGUGCGAAAGCGUGGGGAGCAAACAGGAUUAGAUACCCCCGUAGUCCCUGUCUCUUAUAU